UAUAACUUUUUUAUUUAAACGAUGAAUAAAAACAUUUGAGUUUAACUUUAACAGUGUGUAAAUGCCAUCAAAUUGCAUGCGUUGAUUGCCUUUUGGAUUAGGUACAUUACUACCGGCCCUGGUCUUUCUACAUUACGCCAAAUUCUCACCGAGCGCGAUAAGGGCGUUACAAAAUGUGUUUCUCAUUCACUGGAAAUU